UGCCUCAUUAGCUCAGUGGUAGAGCAUUUCACUUUUAAUGAAGGGGUCAAAGGUUCGAAACCUUUAUGGGGCACCAU
rnacentral:tRNA from 13 species